rnacentral:lncRNA from 1 species
UUCAAAACUUUAAUUUCUAAACAUUAAAAAGCACCUAAUUUUUCUUCUGGCACUAUUAUUUUACUAUUAUGUGUGAACAGUUUAGAAUUAGUUUUAUAUUGUAAAUGUUUAACCCGCUGAACACUAAUAAUUUUUUUAGAACUAAAUCACUGGUCUAAAAUGCUUAAUUUCAGUCACUAUUAUUAAGAUUACAUGUUUCUUAUACUUCUAAUAGUAUUUUAAAAAAACAAAAAUCAAAUGUAUAACUAUCUGAAUAUUAUAAACUCUCUCCAUUUAAUUUAAGAUUGUAAGGCGAUAUGAGAUUCAUCUUACACUUUCGACUAGCGAAUUAACUCUAAUGCUAAAUAUAAUAAUUUAUUAUACUAACAUUAACAACUCGUUGGGUCCAAAUCACCUGCUCUAACAUAUAUAAAAAUUUAAUAAAUUAACAAGACAUACAUAUAUAAUUUCAAAGCUUUUGUUAUCACCAACCAUUGUGCUCUUUGUUGGUUUGUGCAAUGUUCAACAAACAACAAGUCACAGGUUCAAGGAUUGGUUGGUACAAAAGGAGGAAGAGAGAAAAGAAGAAGAAAGAGGUAUUUCAAAAUACCUCCAUUUUUGUGUUGUAAUUUAUUUAUAUUUUUAAAGCAAAAUAAAAUUUAAAUUAUCUAUACCUCAAUUUUUCAUAAAUUUAUAUUUUAAAAUAAAAUAAAGUUUAAAUUAUCUUAGUUAGUUUAUUAUUAUUGUUGUUAGAGAUAGGGGUGGCAAUCCAGCCCACUGUUUGCGAGUCAGCUUAUAUUCGACUCGAAAUGAGCUCGAGAUUGAAUCGCUCGUUCAGUAAAUGAGCUGAACAUGAGUUGAAUCUUUUAGUUCGUUUAAUAAAUGAGCUAAACACGAGCUGGGAUUAUCAGCUUGUGCGUGUUCGACUCGAUAACAGCUCGAAUACAUAUAUUUUAUAUUUAUAUAUUUAUAUAUAUAAAAAAAAUAGUUAUAUAUAUAUAUAUAUAUAUAUAUAUAUAUAUAUAUAUAUAUAUUUUAUAU